AUGGUAGGAUAGAGGCCUACCAUGGUGGUAACGGGUAACGGGGUGUUAGGGCACGACACCGGAGAGGGAGCCUGAGAAACGGCUACCACAUCCNAGGAUGGCAGCAGGCGCGCAAAUUACCCAAUCCCGACACGGGGAGGUAGUGACAAUAAAUAACAAUACGGGGUUCUUUAGGAUCUCGUAAUUGGAAUGAGUACAAUUUAAAUCUCUUAACGAGGAACAAUUGGAGGGCAAGUCUGGUGCCAGCAGCCGCGGUAAUUCCAGCUCCAAUAGCGUAUAUNAAAGUUGUUGCAGUUAAAAAGCUCGUAGUUGAAUUUCGGGGUCAGUAGGUCGGUCGUGCCACUGGUAUGAACUGGUUUUACUGAUUCCUCCCUCUUGAAGAACUGUAAUGCCAUUAAUUUGGUGUUGCAGGGAAUCAGGACUGUUACUUUGAAAAAAUUAGAGUGUUUAAAGCAGGCUUUAGCUUGAAUACAUUAGCAUGGAAUAAUGAAAUAGGACGUUUGAUCCUAUUUUGUUGGUUUCUAGGAUUGACGUAAUGAUUAAUAGGGAUAGUUGGGGGCAUUAGUAUUCAAUUGUCAGAGGUGAAAUUCUUGGAUUUAUUGAAGACUAACUACUGCGAAAGCAUUUGCCAAGGAUGUUUUCAUUAAUCAAGAACGAAAGUUAGGGGAUCGAAGACGAUCAGAUACCGUCGUAGUCUUAACCAUAAACUAUGCCGACNAGGGAUCGGAUGAUGUUAAUUUUUUAAUGACUCAUUCGGCGCCUUACGGGAAACCAAAGUGUUUGGG
rnacentral:rRNA from 1 species